rnacentral:rRNA from 1 species
UACGAAGGGGGCUAGCGUUGUUCGGAAUUACUGGGCGUAAAGCGCACGUAGGCGGCUACUUAAGUCAGGGGUGAAAUCCCGGGGCUCAACCCCGGAACUGCCUUUGAUACUGGGUAUCUCGAGUCCGGAAGAGGUGAGUGGAAUUCCGAGUGUAGAGGUGAAAUUCGUAGAUAUUCGGAGGAACACCAGUGGCGAAGGCGGCUCACUGGUCCGGUAAUGACGCUGAGGUGCGAAAGCGUGGGGAGCAAACAGG